UACGUAGGGUGCAAGCGUUAAUCGGAAUUACUGGGCGUAAAGCGCACGCAGGUGGCUGAGUAAGUCGGGUGUGAAAGCCCCGGGCUCAACCUGGGAAUUGCAUUCGAGACUGCGUGGCUAGGGUGCGGAAGAGGGAAGCGGAAUUUCCGGUGUAGCGGUGAAAUGCGUGAGAUAUCGGAAGGAACACCAGUGGCGGAAAGCGGCUUCCUGGUCCAGCACCGACGUCAGGCACGAAAGCGUGGGGAGCAAACAGG
rnacentral:rRNA from 1 species